GGGAUUCUAGCUCAGUUGGUAGAGCGUUGCUUUCACACAGCAGAGGUCACAGGUUCAAGCCCUGUGAAUCCCA
rnacentral:tRNA from 1 species